UACGGGGGGGGCAAGCGUUGUUCGGAAUUACUGGGCGUAAAGGGCUCGUAGGCGGCCAACUAAGUCAGACGUGAAAUCCCCAGGCUCAACCUGGGAACUGCGUCUGAUACUGGUUGGCUUGAAUCCGGGAGAGGGAUGCAGAAUUCCAGGUGUAGCGGUGAAAUGCGUAGAUAUCUGGAGGAACACCGUUGGCGAAGGCGACUUUCUGGGCUGCUACUGACGCUGAGGCGCGAAAGCCAGGGGAGCGAACAGG
rnacentral:rRNA from 1 species